GCUAAUACCGCAUAAGCUGUGAGUAUCACAUGAUACAAGCAGAAAAGGAGCAAUCCGCUGAUAGAUGAGCUUGCGUCUGAUUAGUUAGUUGGCGAGGUAACGGCCCACCAAGACGAUGAUCAGUAGCCGGACUGAGAGGUUGAACGGCCACAUUGGGACUGAGAUACGGCCCAGACUCCUACGGGAGGCAGCAGUGGGGAAUAUUGCACAAUGGGGGAAACCCUGAUGCAGCAACGCCGCGUGAAGGAAGACGGCUUUCGGAUUGUAAACUUCUGUUCUUAGUGAAGAUAGUGACGGUAGCUAAGGAGCAAGCCACGGCUAACUAC
rnacentral:rRNA from 1 species